GGAGACGUGGCUCAGUGGUUAAGAACACUGGCUGCUCUUCCAGAGGACUUGGGUUCAAUUCCCAGCAUUCCA
rnacentral:tRNA from 1 species